AGUGAACGCUGGCGGCGUGCUUAACACAUGCAAGUCGAACGAGAACGGGUUAUAGCUUGCUAUAAUUGUCAGCUAAGUGGCACACGGGUGAGUAAUGUAUAGGUAAUAUGCCUCUUACUAAGGGAUAACAAAUGGAAACGUUUGCUAAUACCUUAUACUCCUUAUUAACAGAAGUUAAUAAGGGAAAGAUUUAUUGGUAAGAGAUUAGCCUGUAUUGUAUCAGUUAGUUGGUGGGGUAAUGGCCUACCAAGACUAUGACACAUAACUGGUUUGAGAGGAUGAUCAGUCACACCGGAACUGAGACACGGUCCAGACUCCUACGGGAGGCAGCAGUGGGGAAUAUUGCACAAUGGACGAAAGUCUGAUGCAGCAACGCCGCGUGGAGGACGACACAUUUCGGUGCGUAAACUCCUUUUAUAUGAGAAGAUAAUGACGGUAUUAUAUGAAUAAGCACCGGCUAACUCCGUGCCAGCCGCCGCAGUAACAC
rnacentral:rRNA from 1 species